AGGACGAACGCUGGCGGCGUGCUUAACAUAUGCAAGUCGAGCGGAAAGGCCUUUCGGGGUACUCGAGCGGCGAACGGGUGAGUAACACGUGAGUAACCUGCCCCCUACUUUGGGAUAACCCUCGGAAACGGGGGCUAAUACCGGAUAUGACCUGAUUGGGCAUCCAGUUUGGUGGAAAGUUUUUCGGUGGGGGAUGGGCUCGCGGCCUAUCAGCUUGUUGGUGGGGUAAUGGCCUACCAAGGCGACGACGGGUAGCCGGCCUGAGAGGGCGACCGGCCACACUGGGACUGAGACACGGCCCAGACUCCUACGGGAGGCAGCAGUGGGGAAUAUUGCACAAUGGGCGGAAGCCUGAUGCAGCGACGCCGCGUGAGGGAUGACGGCCUUCGGGUUGUAAACCUCUUUCAGCGGGGACGAAGCGAAAGUGACGGUACCUGCAGAAGAAGCGCCGGCCAACUACGCGCCAGCAGCCGC
rnacentral:rRNA from 1 species